GCCAGCAAAGGAGGUUUUGAAAUGGUCAGCGAAGAAAAGAAAUGGUCCAAAGUCGAUAUCUGCUUGGGAUAUCUGCCAGGAAAAGAAACUGGAUCUCUCUUCAAAGUCUCACUAGGAAAGAAUUCUCUACUCAUAUGAGCUGUUGCAGUCUGGUGGUGUCAGUCUUAUGUGGGCAGCUUAUAUCGUGGAAAGAAACCUCGAAGGCCUAAAGAAAGAAAACACUUGUGAUGGGCAAAAGGAUGCCUCUCUGCACGUGGGACCUGAAGUGGCAGUAUGUCACAUACCAGUCUCCUUCAUGCCCCCUUAGAGCCCAGGCUGAAGAGAAACUCAUA